UCAAGAAUCUUCCUCAAUGGACGAAAGUCUGAAGGAGCGACGCCGCGUGUAUGAUGAAGCCCCUCGGGGUGUAAAGUACUUUUAUUAGGGAAGAAACAAUGACGGUACCUAAUGAAUAAGGGGCUGCUAACCUCGUGCCAGCAGCAGCGGUAAUACGAGGGCCCCAAGCGUUAUCCGGAUUUAUUGGGCGUAAAGCGUAUGUAGGCGGUUUAUUGCAUCUUCUGUUAAAUCACAGAGCUCAACUCUGUGGCUGCGGAAGAGAUGGAUAGACUAGAGAUCGGGAGAGGCAAGUGGAAUUGCUGGUGUAGGGGUUAAAUCCGUUAAUAUCAGCAGGAACACCAAAUGCGAAGGCAACUUGCUAGAACGAUUCUGACGCUGAGAUACGAAAGCGUGGGGAGCG
rnacentral:rRNA from 1 species